rnacentral:rRNA from 1 species
AGGGCACCACCAGGAGUGGAGCCUGCGGCUUAAUUUGACUCAACACGGGAAAACUCACCCGGCCCGGACACCGUAAGGAUUGACAGACUGAUAGCUCUUUCUUAAUUCGGUGGGUGGUGGUGCAUGGCCGUUCUUAGUUGGUGGAGCGAUUUGUCUGGUUAAUUCCGAUAACGAACGAGACUCUGGCCUAUUAAAUAGUAGAGUCGUCUCGUGUAGCGAUUCUUACUUCUUAGAGGGACAAGCGGCGUCUAGCCGCAUGAAAUAGAGCAAUAACAGGUCUGUGAUGCCCUUAGAUGUCCGGGGCUGCACGCGCGCUACACUGAAAGAAUCAGCGUGCGUCGAGAACCUAGUCCGGAAGGACCGGGUAACCCCAGUAAAUUCUUUCGUGCUUGGGAUAGGGAAUUGAAAUUAUUUCCCUUAAACGAGGAAUUCCCAGUAAAUGCGGGUCAUAAGCUCGCGUUGAUUACGUCCCUGCCCUUUGUACACACCGCCCGUCGCUACUACCGAUUGGGUGACUCA